UACAGAGGGGGCAAGCGUUGUUCGGAAUUAUUGGGCGUAAAGGGCUCGUAGGCGGUUUGUCGCGUCGGGAGUGAAAAUCCAGGGCUUAACUCUGGACUGGCUUCCGAUACGGGCAGACUAGAGGUAUGCAGGGGAGAACGGAAUUCCUGGUGUAGCGGUGAAAUGCGCAGAUAUCAGGAGGAACACCGGUGGCGAAGGCGGUUCUCUGGGCAUUACCUGACGCUGAGGAGCGAAAGUGUGGGGAGCGAACAGG
rnacentral:rRNA from 1 species